rnacentral:lncRNA from 1 species
GUGAACGUUCCGAAAACCAAGAAGACCUACUGCAAGAACAAGGAAUGCAGGAAGCACACCCUGCACAAGGUUACCCAGUACAAGAAAGGAAAGGAUAGCCUUUCAGCUCAAGGGAAGCGUCGUUAUGACCGCAAACAGUCAGGAUAUGGUGGUCAGACAAAGCCUGUUUUCCACAAGAAGGUUUCAUACAAAUCCCAGCCCUUUGCAAUUGCUCAUUAUGAUUGAAUGCUGCUUCGAAAAUCUUAAUGUUGCUCUAAUGAGGUUUGUUUACUUGAUGUAACUAAUAUGCAUUGGUGCAUUUCAGGCCAAGACAACAAAGAAGAUUGUGCUGAAGCUGCAGUGCCAGAGCUGCAAGCACUACUCUCAGCACCCGAUCAAGGUAUUUUUGCCUCCGCUUUAUUGUCGCUUCUUCGUAUUGUUUCUGUAUCAGUGUUUCAGUUUUUCUGACACCAAAAUUGCAACUUCAGAGGUGCAAGCACUUCGAGAUCGGUGGCGACAAGAAGGGCAAGGGAACCUCUCUCUUCUAAGCUGAUGAUAAACUUGUUCUUAGCCCCAGGUCAUCUGCCAGAAGUUACCAUUUGGAAUGUUCUAUGUUAUCCUUAUAUAGGGAGAUACAUCAGAUGGGAACCCACUGGAGUGAUACAAGAUAUAUCUUGUGCUUUGUGUCUGAAUCAGCUGUUUUGUCAGAUAAAUUUGGU